GGACCCGCACAAGCGGUGGAUUAUGUGGAUUAAUUCGAUGCAACGCGAAAAACCUUACCUACCCUUGACAUGUCCUGGAGGCCUGAGAGAUCGGGCUGUGCCCGAAAGGGAACGGGAACACAGGUGCUGCAUGGCUGUCGUCAGCUCGUGUCGUGAGAUGUUGGGUUAAGUCCCGCAACGAGCGCAACCCUUGCCAUUAGUUGCCACCGGAAACGGGGCACUCUAAUGGGACUGCCGGUGACAAACCGGAGGAAGGUGGGGAUGACGUCAAGUCCUCAUGGCCCUUAUGGGUAGGGCUUCACACGUAAUACAAUGGCGCGUACAGAGGGCUGCCAAGGGGUGACCUGGAGCCAAUCCCUGCAAAGCGCGUCGUAGUCCGGAUUGCAGUCUGCAACUCGACUGCAUGAAGUCGGAAUCGCUAGUAAUCGCGGAUCAGCAUGUCGCGGUGAAUACGUUCCCGGGUCUU
rnacentral:rRNA from 1 species